AUAUGCAAAAUUAAAAACAAAGAUUAACAUACGAUAGCAUUCCUCCACUCGUGAGCUCAUUUACCGAAGCAAAUGUCCUGGAGGAAUGCUAUCGUAUGUUAAUCUUUGUUUGUAAUUUUGCAU